UCCAGAGUACGGCCAGACACGUGAAACCUGGUCGGAAUACGGGGGGACCACCCUCCAACCCUAAAUACUACCCAGUGACCGAUAGCGUAUAGUACUGUGAAGGAAAGGUGAAAAGCACCCCGGGAGGGGAGUGAAAAAGAACCUGAAACCCUGUGCCUACAAGCACCUAGAGCGCGUCAAAGCGUGAUAGGGUACUUUUUGUAGAACGGUCCGGCGAGCGAUUGUAUGCAGCAAGGUUAAGGACUUAAGGUCUGGAGCCGAAGCGAAAGCGAGUUUGAAAAGGGCGUUAAGUUGCAUAUAAUGGGCCCGAAACCGGGUGACCUACCCAUGGUCAGGUUGAAGUGGAAGUAAAAUUCCAUGGAGGACCGAACCGACCUCCGUUGAAAAGGCGGCGGAUGAACUGUGGGUAGCGGAGAAAUUCCAAUCGAACCCGGAGAUAGCUGGUUCUCCCCGAAAUAGUUUUAGGACUAGCCUCAAGUUAGAUACCUGGAGGUAAAGCACUGAAUAGCCUAGCGGCCGAGAGGUUAGCGAAGCUUAUCAAACUCAGAAUGCCAGAGUAUUGAUGCUUGGGAGUCAGACAGUGUCAGAUAAAUGUCAUUGUCAAAAGGGAAACAGCCCAGAUCUACAGCUAAGGUCCCAAAGUCAGGUUAAGUGGAAAACGAUGUGAAGAUACGUAGACAACCAGGAUGUUGGCUCAGAAGCAGCCACUCAUUCAAAGAGUGCGUAAUAGCUCACUGGUCGAGCGUCUUUGCGCGGAGAAUUUAACGGGGCUAAACCUGACACCGAAGCUUAGGCAGCAUGUUUACAUGCUGGGUAGGGGAGCGUUGUAUACGCGGUGAAACAGUAGCGCAAGCGGCUGUGGAGUGUAUAGAAGUGAGAAUGCCGGAAUGAGUAGCGCGAAUGCAGUGAGAAUCUGCAUGGCCGAAAGCCUCAGGUUUCUGGAGGAAGGUUCGUCCGCUCCAGGUUAGUCGGGAGCUAAGGUGAGGCCUAACGGCGUAGCCGAUGCACAGACCGGUAGAGAUUCCGUCACCACCAAAAGAGUUAAACACAGGGACACAUAUGAAGUCUCGGAGCCGGGUGUUGGUUCCGGUAGCGAUCGAGGGAAGUUAGUACCGAAGUCCGGGAUGGAAGAUGGCGAGAAAAGCUGUGUG
rnacentral:ncRNA from 1 species